rnacentral:rRNA from 1 species
UACAGAGGUCUCAAGCGUUGUUCGGAAUUACUGGGCGUAAAGGGUGCGCAGGCCGCGCGGGCAGUCAAAUGUGUAAUUCAGAGGCUCAACCUCUGGACUGCGCUUGAUACUUCCGUGCUCGAGCUUUGGAGAGGAGUCUGGAAUUCUCGGUGUAGCAGUGAAAUGCGUGGAUAUCGAGAAGAACACUUAGGGCGAAAGCAAGACUCUGGACAAAUGCUGACGCUCAUGCACGAAGGCUAGGGGAGCGAACGGGAUUAGAUA